rnacentral:rRNA from 1 species
GAUGAACGCUAGCGGCAGGCUUAACACAUGCAAGUCGAGGGGCAGCAUAAUGGAUAGCAAUAUCUAUGGUGGCGACCGGCGCACGGGUGCGUAACGCGUAUGCAACCUACCUUUAACAGGGGGAUAACACUGAGAAAUUGGUACUAAUACCCCAUAAUAUCAUAGAAGGCAUCUUUUAUGGUUGAAAAUUCCGAUGGUUAGAGAUGGGCAUGCGUUGUAUUAGCUAGUUGGUGGGGUAACGGCUCACCAAGGCGACGAUACAUAGGGGGACUGAGAGGUUAACCCCCACACUGGUACUGAGACACGGACCAGACUCCUACGGGAGGCAGCAGUGAGGAAUAUUGGUCAAUGGACGCAAGUCUGAACCAGCCAUGCCGCGUGCAGGAUGACGGCUCUAUGAGUUGAAACUGCUUUUGACGAGGGUAAACGCAGAUACGUGUAUCUGUCUGAAAGUAUCGUACGAAUAAGGAUCGGCUAACUCCGUG